rnacentral:rRNA from 1 species
UACGGGGGGGGCAAGCGUUGUUCGGAAUUACUGGGCGUAAAGGGCUCGUAGGUGGCCAACUAAGUCAGACGUGAAAUCCCUCGGCUUAACCGGGGAACUGCGUCUGAUACUGGAUGGCUUGAGUUCGGGAGAGGGAUGCGGAAUUCCAGGUGUAGCGGUGAAAUGCGCAGAUAUCAGGAGGAACACCGGUGGCGAAGGCGGUUCUCUGGGCCUUACCUGACGCUGAGGAGCGAAAGCAUGGGGAGCAAACAGG